rnacentral:rRNA from 1 species
UACAGAGGGGGCAAGCGUUAUUCGGAAUUAUUGGGCGUAAAGGGCGCGUAGGCGGCCUGGCAAGUGGAAGGUGAAAUCCCUCGGCUUAACCGAGGAACUGCCCUCCAAACUGCUUGGCUUGAGUCCGGGAGAGGUGAGUGGAAUUCCCAGUGUAGCGGUGAAAUGCGUCGAUAUUGGGAGGAACACCAGUGGCGAAGGCGGCUCACUGGACCGGAACUGACGCUGAGGCGCGAAAGCGUGGGGAGCAAACGGG